ensembl:lncRNA
UAUUAAUGAUGCAGAACAUGAUAGUGAUAUUCAUAUUAUUUGUUCCUUUUUUUUAAAAUUCAUUAUGAACUGGUCAGAAAGAAGUAUAAACGAAACGAUUUAUUUAUGUAAUUAUAUUGUAAUAUUAUCACAGUGGAUAGAUGAAAAAAAUGAAAAGGCGAUAAACAGUUACUUAGGAGAAAAGCUUAUAUAUAGCGCGAGUUAUAGUAAUGAAAAUGGUUAUAAUAAUAAUAAUAUUACUAGUACUGCUAAUAUUGCUAGUGCUUCUAGUGUUAAUAAUAAUGAUAGCAAUAGCAAUAAUAACAAUAAUAACAGUAACCAACACAACAGCACGAACAAACGCAAUAACUUAUUUUUGUCAUUUUCCUUUUUAACAACCCCCUUUGUGUUUAUGUUUUUAUUAGAUUGCAAACCAUUUAUAAAUAAUAAUUUUUUUAUAAAUUUUUAUACAUGCUUAAAAAAAAAAGAAAAAGAAAGAACAAUGAAUAUAAUUUCCUACUUAGAAAAAAAUGAGAAAUGUAUUAAUAUAAUUACAAAUAAUACAUUUAACAAUUUUUGUAAUAAUUUAUUACUGUUAUUAUAUAAUAGUAACAACGAUUUUUUUAUUAAUAAUAUUUUGUUAUUUUUUUUUUAUUUGCAAAAAGACUGGGGGAAAAUUAAAAAGACACAAAAGGAGUUUGCAAUGACAAAUAACCAUAAUAAUAAUAAUAAUAAUAAUGAUAAUAGUAAUUAUAUUUUAAAAGGCGACUUCAACAAUUCAAAAAAAGAAUUUAAAAAUAACUGUAAUAAUAAUAACAAAAAUGAAUUGUCUGUAUUGCUACUUUCAGAUGUUCGAAACAAUAUGAAGGAAAAAAUAUUAUCUGAAAAAAAAGAAAAGCUACUUUUAUAUUUUUUAAAUGAAAAGAAUUCGAAUAGAUUAACUUUGGAGAUAAUACAAAAUUUACAUUUCUUGUACAAACAUACAAACAAAAAACUGUUAUGGUUUAUUUAUUAUAUAAUUAUAAAAUAUAUAAAUUAUGUAAAUAAAACAACUAAGAGUGAUAUAAUUAAUUAUUUUUUAAUAAAGAAGCAUAUGCGAUGUUUAUUAAAAAAUGUAUUUUGCUGUGAAAAGACAGACAAUACUAAUUGUAAUAAUCAUUUUACUAAAUUAUUUAAUGACGUAAAUCAUAAGUCCUAUACACAAGACAUUGAUAAAAAAGAUAGUUAUGUGUUUUUAAUCAAUAAUGAAUAUUUAUAUAAAGACGAUUUUUUAUUUUUUUUUCUUCAAUUAAAUUUAUAUGAAACGCAUUGUAUUUUUAAAAAUAGUGUAUAUUCUUUGAUGGGUUUAAUGUUUUCAAGUGGGAAUGAUAGUGAAAAGACCAUACAUAAAGUAGAAAUACAUAAUGACAACCAUAUGUCAAACAUAAGCGAGCUAAGAAUAAACUAUAGUAACAUUAUUACUAUUAUAAAAAAAAUUGCUUAUAUAAUUUCGAAUAUGCAGAUAUGCCGAACAUACAAAGAGACCAGUGAAAACAAUAUAUAUGUUAUCAUUAAUUAUUUAUUUAUAACUAUUAAGAAAUUGAAGUUGCAGCAUGGCGUUAAUUUAGAA